AGCAGUCGCCACGGGAAUACGAAGGGGGCUAGCGUUGCUCGGAAUUACUGGGCGUAAAGGGAGCGUAGGCGGACAUUUAAGUCAGGGGUGAAAUCCCAGAGCUCAACUCUGGAACUGCCUUUGAUACUGGGUGUCUUGAGUGUGAUAGAGGUAUGUGGAACUCCGAGUGUAGAGGUGAAAUUCGUAGAUAUUCGGAAGAACACCAGUGGCGAAGGCGACAUACUGGAUCAUUACUGACGCUGAGGCUCGAAAGCGUGGGGAGCAAACAGGAUUAGAUACCCCCGUAGUCCCUGUCUCUUAUAC
rnacentral:rRNA from 1 species